rnacentral:rRNA from 1 species
UUUCCGUAGGUGAACCUGCGGAAGGAUCAUUCAUGAAGGACAUGCUGGAAUCGAGAGUCAAUAAACCUCUUCCAAGUCAUUUUUCCUUUUUCGUGCACAUUUUUAACACAUUUUUUUUUCAACCAACCAUUCAAAAACAAAACUAAACAAACAAAAAAACAAAACUCGUGGCGGUGGAUGUCUAGGUUCCGGUAACGAUGAAGAACGCAGCGAAAUGCGAUAUGUAAUGCGAAUUGCAGAACCCGUGAAUCAUCAAAUUUUUGAACGCAAGUGGCGCUCGUGGGCAAUCCUGCGAGCAUGUCUGUUUGAGUGUCCAAGGUGAAAACUAUUUGUUCCUUUUGAACGGCUGAUGGCCUGUUUGGGGAGCUGCUGAUGGGUGUUUGUCCUUGCAAGUGGUCUUUUUGACGAACGAGCGGGGUCACCUGAAGAGUAGAGUGUCGGGGGAGGGUUUGCGUCUUUGGGCCGAGCUUGUUCUGCUUCUUGUAAAAGGGAAUAUCGGGCUCCCACAGCGUUGUGAAGUAAUGAAAAUUAUGGGAAGCAAGGUUGUUUGGUUGCUGGUACCAGGAAUUGGGCAGUGAGUUUUUGUCUGGGAUUGCGGCUGGUUCACUGGUCUUGAACUAAUCUAACGAUUACAACACACAUAUUUGGAUCUCAAAUCAGACAAGACGACCCGCUGAAUUUAAG